UACGGGGGGGGCAAGCGUUGUUCGGAAUUACUGGGCGUAAAGGGCGCGUAGGCGGCCAACUAAGUCAGACGUGAAAUCCCUCGGCUCAACCGGGGAACUGCGUCUGAUACUGGAUGGCUUGAAUUCGGGAGAGGGAUGCGGAAUUCCAGGUGUAGCGGUGAAAUGCGUAGAUAUUGGGAAGAACACCGGUGGCGAAGGCGGCUCACUGGCUCAUAUCUGACGCUCAGGCGCGACAGCGUGGGGAUCAAACAGG
rnacentral:rRNA from 1 species